ACAUCUAAGUCGAAUGGAGACAGUGUACAGUACAAGGCAUCAUGGCUGAUGCGUACCUGUUAAAGACACAGGGAGGCUCAAGCCAGGAUGCUCCUUCUCCUUCUCAACCAUCUCACUGGUCUCGUGGGACUGCCUGGUCUUGUGUGUUUCCUGACAUGGUUGUGCCCCAUAGCAGGUGUAGAGUUUGUCCCAUACAACCUGACAGUGGAAGUACAGGAUUUUAAUGCCAUUGUGCGCUGGAAUCCUGCUCCACAGAACCCGGGCAACUGCACAUAUGUGGUGGAGCUACAGGAAUUCGGGGGGGAGUGGAUUCAAAAAGAAACGGAUUCAACUACGCUGACAUGUGAUUUGGGGAACUUUAAAUCAGAUGAAGACGGCCAGCUGAAGCACUAUCUUGUGAGAGGAAAAACAAUAUGUAGCAACAAAACCUCAGAGUGGAUAAAUAACACUUCU